UCAAAUUCAUGAAAAUGGCGUCAUAAGGAGAAUCUCUGAGUUUCAAGCAGCUUGCAGCCAAAUGUUGAAAGUGUUCCGAACUGGCAUCUCUCCAGCAAACCAAGUUAACUGUGCCUUGCUAGGUGUGAGUUAUCAAUGUGUUCCACAUGGCCGCCUGUGGGAUUCAUGGCUGGCUUUAUAAUCUGCGGGCGGUCGCGUGAAGAUGUGACGAGAAUAUUGUUGGAGUAGGAGCGGAUCGGGACACACGGAGACGGCUAAAACAAGACAGAUGGGAUCGCAGAGACUAGUCAUUCCGAAGGCCGCAGAACAGGAAGAGUCAACAUGUAUACGCAAGACAGAAACAAAAGAAGAACAAGAAGAGAACAGAAGAAAGAAGAGAAUAUUAAUUGGCACAUUCGUGAUCUACCCUGUAGAUCCGGGCUUUUGUAGUUAAGCUCCUCAUCAGAAGCUCGUCUCUACAGGUAUCUCACGGCUGGAAGACCACGCUACUAAUGCUGUUAAAAAAAAACUGAAAAAAGAAGAUUAUGAAGAUAUUCAAGCUUAUUUCUGAUUUUGGAAAAUUUUCAUGUCGUGAGAUUCCAUAUGAAGAUUUUUCAAAAAGUUUUUAGUUUUUUUUUAAUUUAUACUUUUUUAUGUGCAUGUCUUUAUUAAAUUUGUGUCUCUCUAGCAUUCACUCAAAGAAAUUUUUGAUAUGUUUGACUGGGACGUAUAAUAAGCGUUAUGUGUGACCUGAUUAUCUGAGACCUUCUUUCAAUAAGUAAAGUGAAGUAGAUUGCUCGCGUAAAGCCAUAAUAAAUUACACACCUAAACCUUCCUCUGGAAUCACAUUAUCUAUUGAUGAAAACCAUACAAAAAUCUGCCUGGUAGUUCUUGAGAUCAGAUUGCGUACUGAUAGACAGACGCGACAGGGGACUUCUUUUUAUAAUAUGUAAGGAUAAGGAUCUGUGAGGCAUUAUGAUCUCUUCUAGUCAUAUUUCUCAUGGCUUAA